UACGAGGGGGGCAAGCGUUGUUCGGAAUUAUUGGGCGUAAAGGGCGCGUAGGCGGUGUCGCAAGUCCGUGGUGAAAUCUCUAGGCUCAACUUAGAGACUGCCGCGGAAACUGCGGUGCUUGAGUGUGGGAGAGGUGCGUGGAAUUCCAGGUGUAGCGGUGAAAUGCGUAGAUAUCUGGAGGAAUACCGGUGGCGAAGGCGGCAUCCGUGGACCGGCAUUGACGCUGAGGAGCGAAAGCUAGGGGAGCAAACGGG
rnacentral:rRNA from 1 species